GAUUUUUUCGAUUUCGAUUUAUCGAUUUUUGGGGCUUAUCGAUUCGGUUAUCGAUAACACCAAUAAGCCAAGAGGCGGGCUGCACACUUUGUAAACUUUUAAAGCCCAAGUAAUGAUUUGAGUUGUUAUAGACCAAUCACACUUUGUUAAAAGGAAACAUUUACUUCAAAAUAAUCGCUUACCAGCAAUGUUUGCUCCAGAUCAUUAGCCAUUCAAGUAAGAGUCUCUUGAGUCUUUUUCCCUGCUAAUGCCACAGCUCCCUUCGCUGGAAGUUCUUCCUUUGGUCUAUACUUAUUCUCAAAUGCAUUGUCAAUGUCUGAAUCCAAGUCAAAAACUUCUCAAAAUCCACAUCCAUUUGCCAGAGAAAUGUGAUAGCUCUGUUACAAAAGACAUGAAACAAAACCUCUUACAAUCGACCCUUUGGCAACGAUCAAAUAAAAAUGUUAAUUCUCCGUACCUACCUCCCUAUUAUAAAAGACAUGAAACAAAACCUCUUACAAUCGACCCUUUGGCAAGGGUCAAAUAAAAAUGUCAAUUCUCCGUACCUACCUCCCUUAAGUAUUCAUGAAACCCCAAACUACUACUGUCACCUAAGUAGUAAAACCGGAACAAGUAAAAUCAAACAAAAAUUCAAAGAGCCAUGACACCAAAUCUGGCAAUUAGAAAGAUAAGUAAAGUUAGAGUGUGACUUUUUAAUAGCAACAAUUCCUUUCUUACUAUUGAAUUAGUACAGAACCUCGGCACAAGGUCAGCUAACAACAGCAAAACAACGAAAAUAAUCACAAACCACAAAUGAAACCAACCCAACUUCUUAAUCCAAAAGAAAAUGACAUAACCCACGUCGUGUGACUCCAAAUUCAUGCUAUCCAAACCAUGUUAUGAAAUUGAAGGGAGAUAGCAAUUAACAAUAGCGAGAACGUCAUUAAUAGAGCAUCGUAAUAAACAAAAACAGAAGAUGUAAAUGACAGAAUCGAAACUCAGACCUUAAACCGGGAAUAGAGAUUAACGAUCUCAAAUAGAACCUCAACGAAAUCACUCGACGAUGCUUCGGACAGUACCGCAAGCAGCAAACUCAAAGUUGACGUCUCCAGUGAGAUCUCGAAACCAAAACAAAAGCAGAAACCUUAGCGACCUCCUCUUGAGCUUUCUCGAAUGAGAUCGGCGGCAGUGAAUUAGGAAAUCGGGGGUUAAGGGUUAGGGUUAUUUAUGAGUUUUGAAGGGGUGGAGUGGUCGUUGCAUUUUGCUCUAGAUUCUAGCGAUUUAGGGUGGUCCUUUUGGGUGUGUUGAUGGCUGAAAAAAAAUGAAGACUUAGGUUUUUCAAUUCUAAGGAAUUCAAAAGCCAUAGGAACAGAGCACGGACAUGGUCAUACUUGAUACCUGAUUCUUUUUGGGGCUGGUUGUCUCCGGCAUGAGGGUGUCAUUUGGUCGGAGAAGAAGAAGAGUAGCGUGAGGGUGGCGGCUAGGUAUAGGUUUUGAGAUGAUUAGGGUUUUGUUUAUGUAUACGUAUAAUGAAAUGAAACAAAAAAUAUGAGGGGAAGAGGGUGGGGGCCGUGUAGUCAGAUUUGGA
rnacentral:lncRNA from 1 species